rnacentral:rRNA from 1 species
UGGGCUUGAAGUGCAGUGGCACGGUCUGUGAAAGCGGAUCUUUUCUUCGGAACUGCUGUAG